GGCUGAGUCAUACUACUUGAGAUCACAGAGCUAAAAUUCAGAUCUCAUGACUCUUAUUCCAGACUCCUUUUGUACUGUCUAUACUACUGAAAUGAAAUUACCCCAAACUGUAGCAUCGGAGGGUUUAUUAGUUUAUAGAUACUUUGAGGCUAGAUCUCUUCAGUGGAUGAAAUUUUCUGUUUACGCAAGUUUUUUCUAAGAUGCUGCAUAGUAGAUUUAUCAAUGGGACUUUGGAGCCAGACUGCUGGUAUUCAGACCCCAGCCUGGUCACUUACUUUACAAACUGUGACCAUGGGUAAGUUGUAAUAGUGCCAGGCAUAUGGCAAGCAGUUAUUGAGCCAUCAUGAUCAUUUUCAUCUUGGACAUACAGAACAGUUGUCUACCACACUUCUAAGUUCUGUGCAUAUAAUUUGAGUGUUAAUGUUAUACAGAAUAUAUGAGAAGAUACAGGAAGUAAGGUAAGAUAAAAGAAUAUAAGGUAAAACAAUGUCCCUGCCCUCAAGGAAUUUGCAUUAUAAUGGAGGAAGAAGUCUUACAAUCCAGGAGGCAUUAUCUAUUUAAAAUGAUUGGACAGUGAAAGCUAUGAAUGGUCUCUUCUAACAUUCUGUGAAUCUGAGUAUUCAGAGGAAGGCAGAGGGACUAAGGAGAAGAGGUUUGAGCAAGUUUUGUGGGUAAGGGAUUUGUCUGGAUAGAGUAGAAGCAGACAUUCUAGACCAAUGGGAUGGGCAGAAAUGAGUAUUUAAUAAGGCCAAGGUAGGUAAACACAGGGGAGAAUUUUUCAACAGUAAACAGUUUUGCUAGAGAAAAGGCCUGUGAGAGAUAAUAGUGAUUAGGAUACAUUUGAGGAUAUAUACCAAAACCAAGCAUACCAAACUUACCACUUUUUUGCUUGGGCUUCUAAAUUGGUAUAUCAAAAUGUCACCAUAGGCACUAUCUUUCACUCAGGUGUAUAAAGACUGUCAUUGUCAAUGUGGACAGGAUGUUUGAUAUAUUAGAUGAUGACGUCAGAGGAGUGCAUCGCUGAUGGAGUAGCUCACAGAGUGUUGAUCCUAGGUUAGUGGCAACCUACAGUAAAGAGGGGCUUCCCUGGUGGCUCAGAUGGCUAAGAAUCUGCCUGCAAUGCAAGAGACCCAGGUUCCAUCCCUGGGUUGGAAGAUCCUCUGGAAAAGGGAAUGGCUACCCACUCUAGUAUCCUUGCCUGGAGAAUUCCAUAAACAGAGGAUCCUGGUGGGCUACCAUCCAUGGGGUCACAAAGAGUCGGACACAACUGAGCGACUAGCACUUUGAAUUUUUCAGAGUAAAGAGAGGACUAGGAGGUGAUUUCUGUAUCUCUUUGCUGUUUUGAGUGUUGUUUUUUUUUUAAUUGACUGAGAUUUAACUCAUUGGUAAUGUAUUCCCCUGUUCUAUUUCCUAGGUUCAGCACAUCAGCAUUUUGCCAUUUUUAUAUCAGUUUCCUACUCACUUCCUUUAGGAGGAUUUGAACAUUUUUGAAGAAAACUGAGACCUGUGUUUUAUUUUACCCACAGAUAUUUCAGUAUUUAUCCCUAGUUGUUAGGGAUGCACUAUACAGGCACAUAGGUGCCACCACAUCAUUGUCACUCCUCAAAGAGUUAGUAAUUCUUUUAUACAACACCCGAUCCUUCAGUUUUCCCAGUUGACUCAGAAAUGAGUUAGUUUGUUAAAAUCAGUAUCCAAAAAAGGUCUACAUAGUUACAUUUGGUUGUUAUGUCCUUCAAAAUUAUAACAGUUUUCCCCCCCCUUUAAAAAGGCUGUUUAUUUGUUGAAGAAACUGAAUCAUUUCUUUAUGGUAUUUCCUACAUUCUGGUUUGCAUUUUUAUGAUGUCAUGUUAGCAUAUUUUUUCAUUCCCCAUAUUUCUUUUAAGUGGUAAUCAGUUCUAGAGGGUUGACUCAGAUGUUUGCUUCAUAGAAUAUUUUAUAGGUGCUGAUUAUUUUAUAAUACUUACUCAGUUCAGUUAAGUUGCUCAGUCAUGUCCGACUCUUUGCGACCCCAUGAAAUCGCAGCACGCCAGGCCUCCCUGUCCAUCACCAACUCCUAGAGUUCUGUUAAGAGGACUGUAAUGACUGGUUGUCUCAGUGGGUUCAAAUGUCACAUGUGCCUCCAUUCACAGUUACUAAUGUAAGCUGGUUUACAUAGUGAUUGCAGGGUGUCGAUUUUUUCAUUUUUAUAUUUCCUAUGUUUAUUCAUUAUAGUUUAUAAAGAACUCUGAUUCGCAUACUUUCAAGAAAUCACUAUAGGACUUCUUUGGUGGUCCAGUGGCUAAGACUCCACAUUCCCAAUACAGGGGGCCCAGAUUCAAUCUCUGGUUGGGGACCUGGAACCUGCAUGUCACAACUAAGACCUGGUCCAGCCAAAUAAAUAAACAUUUUUUUAAAAGUAUAUAAAAACCAUCAAUGAUUAAAGUUGUUUAAAAAUCACUGUAAUGCCUCAAAAGGAGAAAUAAAAUGAAGUAAUUUAUGUUUUUCAAGAUGUAAAUUCUCAGACAUAAUUGAAUUACAGGAGGUAAAGAAGAGGUCAGAUACUUGUACCUGCAUAUGCGUCACUGAAAUGUGCGUGUGUGUGUAUCAGUCGCUCAGUUAUGUCCAACUCUUUGCCAUCCCAUGGACUUUUAGCCUGCAGCCAGGCUCCUUUGUCCAUGGACUUCUCCAGGCAAGAAUGCUGGAGUGGGUUGCCAUUCCCUUCUCCAGCGAACUCACUGAAUACCUAGCUUCAAAUUGAUCCAUGGUAGACAUGUUGUUAGAGAUUCACGUUCAACAAUGUUGCCAUCAGUGUUUCUCUUGAUCAACUCUUGGUGUCAAGUUUUAAACAGUUUACCCAAAGAGUUGUAUUACUGGUGAUUUCAGUGUGUGUAUUAAAAAUCUUACAAAAGAUACUUUGUAAAAUUCAGUUAGCUUCUAUGUUUGGUCACACUCACUACACUGAGUGUCAUUGGUUGAACCAUCUGCCUCCUUGUCUCUGUUUAUCAAUAAACUUUUUAUUUUGUAGUUAUUUUAGAUUUAUAGAAAGAUUGCAAGGAUAGACUGCCCAUGUAUGCGUCACAGUUUUCCCAAGUGUUGGCGUGUCACCUUGACGCAUUUUUGUCCUAAGAAACCAAAUACUGUUACUCUGGAAACCAUAAACUUGGUCAGAUUUUACCAGUUUUUCCAUGUACCUCUUGCUUUGGGCUUGAGUCUCUGUGUGGAGAGCAGUGGGCUCCUCCUCUGCCCUAGAUCUGCGCAGGGCCAGCAUAUCCUCUCCACAUGGCCUGCCCUCUGCUCUUCUGCCCACUGGUUGCUAGAUCUUUCACUGUUCUGCCAAUAUACUGCAUUUGUUUCUCCUUUUAUUUUUAACGUAUUGGGCUGCAUCAGGCUGCAUCAGGUCUUCCUUGCGGCAUGUGGAAUCAUUUGUUGUGUGCGGACUCAAUAGUUGCCCCAGGACAUCCCUGACCACAGGUUGAACCCUUGUCCCCUGCAUCGGAAGGCAGAUUCUUAACCCUGGGACACCAGGGAAGUCCUCUCAUUUUAAAACAGGACACCAGGAACUGAAUGCAAUUCUUCACAUGUGGUCUGACAGAAGCGAAAGGUGGAAAUGCUGCAGUUGUGUAUCUCGCAUGACUGUUAGUGUAGCCUACGCCUGUUUGUUUAUUUCCUGCCUGUUUUGUUUUGUUUUGUUUUUAAGCAACUGCAUCCCAUAUUGAUCUAAUACUGAAGUCGAAGUUCUGUUUAGCUAAUUCACCCAAAGUUUGUUUUUAUGUCAUAUGAAUUGCUCUUUAAUCCAACAGCAAGACUUUAUGUGAAUCCCUUUAAAAAUUCAUCUCAAAACAAAUUCUUUAUUUUGGCACAUCCAUUCGCCUCUUUGCAUUUUUAUUCUGCCCGCCAAUGUUUUCACAGUUUCUUUUAUGCAAAGCUUGUCAGUAUGCUUUCUGUCAUUUUCUAAAAUGCUAAUAAAAAUAUUGCAUAGAGCAGGGUCAAGUCCAGAACCUACCAUGGCACAAGAUGGCAAGUGAAAAGAAGUUACAGCAAGCAUUUGACUGUAUGAGGAUGCUAAAGAGUGCUGUUAUCAUAGAGUGCAGGCCUUGAUUCAGUCUUCCAUGUCAACUGGGGUGGUGUCUAAGCUAGAGAACUCUUGUAGAAUGAGAACAAAUGGAUUUUUGGAGGGUCAGUUUUACCUUUGGAGAAGCCAGCUGUGAUUCAUAAGAUUGUUAGCUUAGCUUUCAUUUAACUGGACAUGCCUGCUACUUCUACUCUAAGACUGCAUGAGCCUUUCUUGAAUUAGGCCUUUUUAUGAAUGAAAUUGAGAAUUUUGGAGGGCUUUAGAAGCACUUUUUAAAAAUUACCAAGGAUGUAUUUGAAUACUUCUUUUUCAAUAGAGCCCAAGUCAUAUAUCAUUUCCCAUUUUUCUUUUUCAUGUUGGUCUUUUUCUUAAUCUUUAAGAGCCCAUUGUUUGUUGUAUCUGUUGCAGAUUAUCUUGCUCCAUCUGUUGUAAUUGACUUUUUUCUGGCUGUUUUCCAUUAUUGAAGUUUUGUAUGUACUUGCUUAUCAAAUUUACAUUGUGCUUCCUUGCCCUGUGUAUGGUUUCAGGUGUUCCCUGUAUUGCUUAGAAAGUUCUCAUACACCAAGAAGUAAAAUAAAAAGAUCCUCUUAUAGUUUCUUCUAAGAAGUUUAUAGCUUUUUAAAAAAAUUGAAACAUAUUUGCCAUAUUUAAGAUAUACACCAACCAGUUAGAUCUUUUCUUUGAGAAAGGGAUUUUUAUGCAUGUGUGAGAAAUGUGUCAUGCAUUCAGAAGUGUGCAGUAUGUCUGUAUUCACUAGAACGACAAUAAGUAAUAUCCAUCUAUAUUAAAACAUAGACCAUCUCACAGAAAUAUCCAUAACCACUUAUCUGUACCUUCUUCUUGGCUACCCUUUGCCUUCCUGUUUAGUUUUACCCCCAGUAAAUCUCUUCCUAUCUGAGCAGCGUAGCCUUUAGUUACGAAGCACAGGGUGACAGAUUCAGAGUGCACUCUGUGAGGAAUGGGCAGUUUGCACCAUUGGAUGCAAGCUCGUAGGAGAGCAGAAGCUGAGCUCCAUCUGCCUUCUACCUGCCUGAGAGCUUCCCAGAGACCCUUUGCAGAAGUCAACUGGGCGAGAUCACGAGUGAGCCUUGAAAGCCCAGGACCACCACACGGGGUAUUUGGCUGGGCCUUCAUGUGGACCAAGAUAGAUCUCCAGCAGAUAUGUGGUCAGAGGACAGCUGCUCCCCUUGGUCAACUCCCAGCUUUCAGGAGCAGGUCAGAGCAGAAGCGUGGGGGUGAAGCGAGGGUCCUCAGCUGAACCUCCCUCUUGAAGGGGAGAGCAGGAACUUAAUCAGCCAACUCCAGGGGAGCAGCAGAGCCUGGACUAGACUCCCAAGGCAUCUUCUGUCCUCAUGUCAAAAAGCAAAAAUAUAUGAUUGUCUCUCUCUCUCUCUCUCUGUGUAGUUGAUUCUUGUUAUUCUUGAUAGCUGUAUUCUCUAAAGUUGCCGUGAACACUAAAUUAGCAAACACUGAACCAGAGCUUCUAAUGGCAGUAUAGGGCUGGGUUCCUGUGAGCCUUUGGUCACACUUGGCAUCAACAGAUCAAUACAAAACCUUGUUUUCUGUGUGUUUCUGUUGAAAGACACCUUACUUAAUAUUCAGUUGAUUCUUAAACAUAGAAGUCAUAGCUAACAGCACUGUACCUCAUGGCUAAACAGUUUAUCUAACACAUGUUGUCAGUUUUGUGGCGCUUAGAAACACUAGACAGCACUUCAGUGCUUCAUCUGGGGCCAUUUUAAACAGUGCAGUCACCUAUAAACAGUACAGAAAGUUGAAAUGCAUGACAGUGCAUAGCCCAUGAAAAGGAUGUUUGUUUACAGGAUGAAUUGAAGCAGGAAGGCAGAGCAGCCACUCGUCUGAGCUCAGCUAGGAAUGUGCCGAUUGGUAACUCAGAUGUGCACAAGUGACUGUGAAAGCACUGCAAGUAUUGCUGUGUACGUACGCAUGCUUAUAUAUAUACACACGAAGCAGGGAGAAUUAUUCCAAGGUGUUAGAUGUCAGGAUAGUAACUUGGGGUGGUUGCUAGAGGGAGCAUGAGGGAGACUUGUUCUGUUUCUUGAUCUGGGUGUGGGUUACACAGGUUAUGUUCACUCUGUGAAAACCAAGCUGUGUGUUUAUGAUUUGUGUAAUUUCUGAAUGGUGUUUCACUUCAGUAAACAGCGUAAAACAAACAAUACUCUGGCCCCAGGAUCUGGGUGAUGACCACUCAGUGUGCAUGCCUCUUGAGUGUUAGCACUCCGGUGUGGACAAGCUGUCCUCAGCUACAGCAUGGCUGUCAUUCUGGGGUUCCCACUUAACCGCCUUCCUGGUGAUUUUAGUUGCUUCUCUCUUAUUUCAGAUCUCCUGUUUUCCUAGAUUCGAUUUCCCCCAUUAUUUCCUCCUCUUACUCUUCAUUGUUUCUGAAGAAGGGUUCACUGGGAACAAUUAUUUUUAAAACUUAGCAAAUUUGAAGAUACUGUUGACACUAUCGUUAACACCUCAUACUUGAAUGACAACUUUCCAAAGUAUGUAAUUUUAAUGUGGAAGUUCUUUUCCUUUGGAAGUUUGAUGACAUUAGUGCAUUACCUUUUACAGUCCAAUGUCCCUGUUGCACAUAUCUGAUUCUUGAUCGUGUGUGACCUCUAGGCCCUCCUUCCGCAUUAGCGUUUUUGUUUUGUUCAGCUAAAUACUCAGGAGUGGAAUUGCUGAAUUGUAUGAUAGUUCUAAUUUUAAUUUUUUGAGGAAUUUCCGUACUGUUUUCCAUAGUGGCUGCACCGAUUUACAUUCUUACCAACAACAUAUGAGGAUUCACUUUUCUCCCUAUCCUCACCAGCACUUAUUAUUUGCUGUGUUAUUUUUUCUCUUUUAAUAAUACUCAUAGUGACAGGUUUGAGGUGAUCUCAUUAUGGUUUCGGAGAAGGCAAGAGUACUGGAGUGGGUUGCCAUUUCCUUCUCUAGGAGGUCUUCCUGACCCAGGGAUUGAACCCAGGUAUCUUGUAUUAUAGGCAGACGCUUUACCAUCUGAGCCACCAGGGAAGUUCAGUGAUAUUGAUACUUUUCUUUGUUGUGCAAAAAAGCUUUUUAAUUUUGUAUAGUCCCAUUUGUUUACUUUUGCAUUUGUUUCUCCUGCUUGAUGAGACAUAAGAAAUAAGAAAAGACCAAUAAGAAAUAAGAUUAAGACCAAUGUCAAAGAGCUUACUGCCUGUGUUUUCUUGUAGAAGUUUUAUGGCUUCAGGUCUUACAUUUAAGUCUUUAAUCCAUUUUGAAUUUAUUUCUGUGUAUAGUGUGAGAAAGUAAUUUAAUUCUUUUGCAUGUAACUGUCCAGUUCUCCCAACACCAUUUAUUGAAGAAGCUGUCUUUUCUCCAUUGUGUAUCUUUGCCUGCUUUGUCAUAGAUUAAUUUCCUGUAUUUGUGUGGGCUCGUUUCUGAGCUCUCUAUUCUGUUGCAUUGAUCUUUGUGUCUGUUUUUUGUGCUAGUACUAUACUGUUUAGAUUACUGUGGCUUUGUAGUACAGUCUGAAGUCAGGGAGCAUGAUUCAUCCAGUUCUUUUCUUCCUCAAAUUGUUUUGGUUAUUCAGGGUAGUUUGUGUUUACAUAUAUAUUUUAGAAUUAUUUUCUCUGGGUCUAUAGAAAAUGCCAGUGGUAUAUUGAUAGGGAAUGCAUUGAAUCUGUAGAUUGCCUUAGGUAAUGUGGUCAUUUUAGCAAUAUUAACUUUUCCAGUCUAUAAACACAGUGUAUCUUUCCAUCUGUUUUUGGUAUCUUGAGUUUAUUCCAUCAGCAUGUAACAGUUUUCUGAGUACAUGUCCUUUACCUCCUUAGUUAGAGUGAUUUCUCGGUAUUCUUUUAGAUGUGGUUUUAAGUAGCACUGUAUUCUUAAUUUCUCUUUCUGAUGAUUGUUAGUGUAUAGAAAUGCCAGAGAUUUUUUUGGUGUCCUGCAACUUUACAGAUUCGCUGAUGAGUUAUAGUAGUUUUUCAGAGGUGUCUUUAGGCUCUUCUGUGUAUAGUAUCAUGUCAUCUGCAAGGAGUGACAGUUUUACUUCUUCCUUUCCAAUUUGGAAUACUAUUUUUUAAAUUAUUUAUUUAUUUAUUUAUGGCUGUGCUGGGUCUUUGUUGCUGGGUGUGGACUUUUCUCCAGUUGCAGUGCACAGGUUUCUCAUUGUGGUGGCUUCUUGUGUUGUGGAGCACAGGCUCUCGGCGUGGGGCUUUCAGUGAUUGCAGCGUGCAGGCUCAGUAGUUGCAGCUCCCAAGCUCUAGAGCACAGGUUCAGUAGUUGUGGUGCAUGGGCUUCGUUGCUUCUCAACAUGUGGAAUCUUCUCGGACUAGCAAUCAAACCCAUGUCCCCUGCAUUGGUUCAGUUCAAUCCCUCAGUCGUGUCUGACUCUUUGUGAGCCCAUGGACUGCAGCACGCAAGACUUCCCUGUCCAUCACCAACUCCCAGAGCUUACUCAGACUCAUGUCCAUCGAGUUGGUGGUGCCGUCCAACAAUCUCAUCCUCUUGUCCCCUUCUCCUCCUGCCUUCAGUCUUUCCCAGCAUCAGGAUCUUUUCCAGUGAGUCAGUUCUUCACAUCAGGUGGCCAAAGUAUUGGAAUUUCAGCUUCAGCAUCAGUCCUUCCAAUGAAUAUUCAGGACUGAUUUCCUUUAGGAUUGACUGGUUGGAUCUCCUUGCAGUCCAAGAGACUCUCAAGAGUCUUCUCCAACACCACAGUUCAAACGUAUCAGUUCUUCGGUGCUCAGCUUUCUUUAUAGUCCAACUCUCACAUCCAUACAUGAUUACUGGAGAAACCAUAGCUUUGACUAGACUGACCUUUGUUGGCAAAGUAAUGUCUCUGAUUUUUAAUAUGCUGUCUACGUUGGUCAUAGCUUUUCUUCCAAGGAGAAGUGUCUUCUAAUUUCAGGGCCACAGUCAACAUCUGCAGUGAUUUGGGGGCCCACCAAAAUAAAGUUUCAUUGUUUCCCCAUCUAUUUGCCAUGAAGUGAUGGGACUGGAUACCAUGAUCUUAGUUUUCUGAACGUUGAGUUUUAAGCCAACUUUUUCACUCUUCUCUUCCACUUUCAUCAAGAGGCUCUUUAGUUCUUCUUCACUUUCUGCCAUAAGGGUGGUGUCAUCUGCAUAUCUGAGGUUAUUGAUAUUUCUCCCAGCAGUCUUGAUUCCAGCUUGUGCUUCAUCCAGCCCAGCAUUUCUCAUGAUGUACUCUGCAUAGAAGUUAAAUAAGCAGGAUGACAAUAUUCAGCCUUGACAUACUCCUUUUCUGAUUUGGAACCAGUCUGUUGUUCCAUGUCCAGUUCUAGCUGCAUUGGAGGUGGAUUCUUAUUCACUGUACUGCCAGAGAAGUCCUGGAGUCCUUAGACUUCCAGUGCAGUACUGAAUAAAAGUGAUGAGAGUGGGUGAGAGUGGGCAUUCUUGUCUUGUUCCUAAUUUUAGAGGAAAUGCUUUCCGCUUUUCACCAUUGAGUAUGAUGCUUAUAUGGCCUUUAUUAUAUUGAUGUUUGUUCCCUAUAUACCCACUUUUUUGAUUUUUUUUCAUUAUAAAUGGAUGUUGAGUUUUGUCAAAAGCUUUUUCAGUAUCUAUUGAGAUGGUCAUGCCAUUUUUUUUCCAAUUGAUUAAUUGAUUUUUUCCACAUUGAUUAAUUUGUGGAUAUUGAACGAUCCUUGCAACGCUGGGAUAAAUCCUGUUUGAUCAUGGUGUAUGAUCCUUUUAAUGCAGGAGUCCCCAGACCCUGGGCUGCAGACCAGUGGUCCACAGCCUAAUAGGAACUGAGCCACAAGGGAGGAGGUGAGUGGCAGGUGAGCCAAGCACAGCUUCAUCUGCCACUCCCCUUCACUCACAUUACCACCUGCACCAUCCCAGUUUCCCUUCCCCCAAUCCAUGGAAAAAUUGUCUUCCAUGGUCCCUGGUGCAAAAAAGAUUGUAGACUGCUAUUUUAAUGUAUUUUUGGAUUAGAUUCCUAAUGUUUUGUUGAGGAUUUUUGUUCAUCAAUAAUAUUGGUCUGUAAUUUCCUUUUUUGUGUGAUAAUCUUUGUCGGGUUUUGGUGUCAGGGUGAUGCUAAGGUUAUAGAAUGAAUUCGAAAGUAUUUCUUCCAAUUAUUAUUAUUAUUUUUUUUUUUUUUGAGUAGGUUGAGAAAGAUAGUUGUUAAUGUUUGGUAGAAAUCACCUAUGAAGCUCUCUGGUCCUGGACUUGUUUGUUAGGAAUUUUUCGAUUACUGAAUCAAUUUCUUUACUGAUGAUUUGUCUAUUCAUAUUUUCUGCUUCUUCCUGAUUCAGUCUUUGCAGUUGUACAUUUCUAGGAAUUGGUCCAUUUAUUCUAAGUUGUCUAUUUUUUGGUGUAUAAUUGUAAUAAUCUCUUAUGAUCCUUUGUAUUUCUGUGGCAUUACUUGUAACUUCUUUUUCAUUUGUAAUUUUAUUGAUUUAGGUUUUUUUUUCCUUGAUGAGUCUGGCUAAAAGUUUAACAAUUUUGUUUAUCUUUUCAAAACAAGUAGCUCUUAGUUUCAUUGAUCUUUUUUCUGUUUUGGUUUUUCUUUUUCAGUCUCUCUCAUUUAUUUCUGCUUCCAUCUUUAUGAUACCGUUUCUUCUACUAACUUGUCUUUUGUUUGUUCUUUUUCUGCUUCCUUUAAGUGUAAGGUUGCUUUCAGGCUAUUGACGCUGGAGUUCCAGUUUUCUUCCCUUUAAUGUUCUAUUCUCUUUUCACCUUCUCCUUCUGAGAAUAAUUUAGUUACGAUUUAACACAAACUCUUCUUUGUUCAGUAAACUGUGUAUACUGCUAUCUUGUCAACAGUGCCUUGAGUUCCCUAGGUUAGAGGCCCUGUUUUACCCUUUAAUGAGUAAACUUCUUGUUUCCACUUGAAGUAGAGGAUGUCUGAAAGGCAAUGUACAAAUUUAACUGCUUCUGGAAGAGCUUUUUACAUCUUUCACCUUUAGACAGUUCUCUUCUCUAACCCAAGUUCCAGCAAUACCUGAUACUGCCAGUCCUGGACACUUUGUUGAAUUUGUAUUGAAUAUUGGGUGGUUUCUUUGCUUUCUCCUUUUUACCCUUUGCUUUUACCUUUUUAUGAGGGUUCAUCUUUUUCCAGCCUCCUGACUCAGUUGCCACUCAUCCAUCUGCUUUCCAGCUUCCAAAUUUUUGUUGCUAUUGUUUACUUUUACUCUCCUUAUCCUUAUGAAAUUGUCUUUAUAAGCAAGGUGAAAAGACAGCCUUCAGAAUUGGAGAAAAUAAUAGUAAAUGAAACAACUGACAAAGAAUUAAUCUCCAAAAUAUACAAGCAGCUCAUGUAGCUCAGUACCAGAAAAAUAAACAACCCAAUCAAAAAAUGUGCCAAAGAAUUAAACAGACAUUUCUCCAAAGAAAACAUAACAGAUGGCUAAGAAACAGAUGAAAAGAUGCUCAGCAUCACUCAUUAUCAGAGAAAUGCAAAUCAAAACCACAGUGAGGUACCAUCUCACACCGGUCAGAAUGGCUGCUAUCAAAAAGUCUACAAUGAAUGCUGGAGAGGGUGUGGAGAAGAGGGAACCCUCUUACACUGUUGGUGGGAAUGCACACUAGUACAGCCACUAUGGAGAACAGUGUGGAGAUUCCUUUAAAAACUGGAAUUAAACUGCCAUACGACCCAGCAAUCCCACAGCUGGGCAUACACACUGAGAAAACCGGAGAGACAUGUGUACCCUAGUGUUCAUCGCAGCACUGUUUAUAAUAGCCAGGACAUGGAAGCAACCUAGAUGUCCAUCAGCAGAUGAAUGGAUAAGAAAGCUGUGGUACAUAUACACAAUGGAAUAUUUCUCAGCUCUUGAAAAGAACACAUUUGAGUCAGUUCUAAUGAGGUGGAUGAAACUGGAGCCUAUUAUACAGAGCAAAGUAAGUCAGAAAGUAAAACACCAGUACAGUAUAUUAAUGCAUACAUAUGGAAUUUAGAAAGAUGGUAACGAUGACACCAUGUGCACGAUAGCAAAAGAGAUACAGAUAGAAAGAACAGACUUUUGGACUCUGUGGGAGAAUGCAAGGGUGGGAUGACUUGGGAGAAUAGCAUUGAAACACGUAUAUGGCCAUAUGUGAAACAGAUCAUCAGUCUAGGUUCGAUGCAUGAGACAGGGCGCUCAAAGCCAGUGCCCUAGGAUGACC
ensembl:lncRNA